UACGAGUGGCUCAAGCGUUAUCCGGAAUCAUUGGGCGUAAAGGGUGUGUAGGUGGUCUUGUUAGUCUCGCGUUAAAUUCUUCGGCUUAACCGGGGGCAUGCGCGGGAAACGGCAGGACUUGAGGAUGCAAGAGGACUCUGGAACUCUCGGUGUAGCGGUGAAAUGCGUUGAUAUCGAGGGGAACACCAAAAGCGAAGGCAAGAGACUGGGGCACUCCUGACACUGAAACACGAAAGCGUGGGUAGCGAAUGGG
rnacentral:rRNA from 1 species